GCUCCGGUAGUGUAGCACGGCCAAUCAUGUUGGCCUUUCGAGCCAACGACUCGGGUUCAAAUCCCGACCGGAGCA
rnacentral:tRNA from 1 species